rnacentral:rRNA from 1 species
UACGUAGGGUGCAAGCGUUGUCCGGAAUUAUUGGGCGUAAAGAGCUCGUAGGCGGUUUGUCGCGUCGAAUGUGAAAACCCGGGGCUCAACCCCGGGCCUGCAUUCGAUACGGGCAGGCUAGAGGCAGGUAGGGGAGAACGGAAUUCCCGGUGUAGCGGUGAAAUGCGCAGAUAUCGGGAGGAACACCGGUGGCGAAGGCGGUUCUCUGGGCCUGUACUGACGCUGAGGAGCGAAAGCGUGGGGAGCGAACAGG